rnacentral:lncRNA from 1 species
GCGGGGUGGGCGCUGUGUGCCCUCAGCGCCGCGCGGGGCUGCGGUCGGGACGCGUAGGUGGGCGCACAGCCCUGCGGGGCUCCGUGUGGCCCUCAAUGUGUCCCUGCGGGGCUCCGUGUGUCCCUGCUGGGCUCAGUGUGGCCCUCAGUGUGUCCCUGCAGGGCUCUGUGAGUCCGUGCGGGGCUCAAUGUGGCCCUCAGUGUGUCCCUACUGUGCUCAGUGUGUCCCUGCGGGGCUCAGUGUGUCCCUCAAUGUGUCCCUACUGGG